GGUACUAUCAAAUCAGGAUUUUAGUGAAAUUACGAUUUUGCCCUUGAAGAGCAUAAGGAUUUUUUCAUUUUAAAAUUAUUUGUAUCCCUUCAAUCUGCUUUGUAAUCAUCAAAAUCAAUCUAGGAGCAACAAUCUCUCCCUUUUUGAUGAUGACAAAAUAUUUGAACAAAAAUACUUAUGUUAAUGCAUUAAUUUUAAAAGAAUCCAUUAUAGGUGUAUAUGCUUAAAAAAAGUAUGAUUCUUUUGGCAUGUAAUAUAAAUGCAAAAAUAGUUUGUCCAUUUUCUUAAAGAUUUAAAAAGGGUAUUAAAUCAUUUUGAGCAAGAGAAGAUAAAUAACUUUUGCAAUGUAUCAGAGCAAGAAAAAUAAUUUUUACAAUGAUAUCAGAAAAGAUUUUAUAAUGUAUCGGAGCAAAAAAAUUUUAUAAUAUAUCAGAGAAAAUUUCACAGUGUAUUAGAGCAAAUGUCAGAGAAAAUUUCACACUGUAUCAAAGCAAAAAAAAUAUAUAUCAGAGAAACUUUCUCACUAUAUCAGAUCAAAUGUUAUAAUUUAUCAGAGAAACCUUCACACUGUAUCGGAUUAAAUUUUAUCAUGUAUCAGAGCAAGUUAAAAGAAAUUGUAGGGUGUAUCAGAGUAAAACAAAUUUCUUAAGAUGUAUCAAAGUGAAUAAAAUUUUAAAAGAUGUAUCAGAGCAAGUUUGAAUUUUGAAAUAUAUCAGAGCAUAAAAAAUACUUAUUUGCAUUGUACUUAUGAUUUUGCUUUUGAUGGAUAACUUUUUGUUUAAGUUCUGUCUGAUAUCAAAUUUCGAUACCAAAUUUCUCAAAAUUUUGUUUAAUCUUUCAAUCCUUGUUUUUGUUUAAUUUCUCCAAUAUUUAUUUAAUUUCUCCAAUAUUUAUUUUAAUCUUCCAAUCUUUGUUUUUGUUUGAUUU
rnacentral:lncRNA from 1 species